rnacentral:sRNA from 2 species
CGGCAUCAGACAACUAUCCCUUUUUCACGGCGGGGGUGGAGGACCCAGAACCGGCAGCAAGCCUGCCUUGGGGUGAAGCCGCGACGUCGGUGGUCAGGUGACCGCCGGGAUGCGGCCGGGCAUUUUCCUUGGCCCGAACCCGACAGCUAACUUCGCAGGCGACCGAAAGGAUCC